AUUGAACGCUGGCGGCAGGCCUAACACAUGCAAGUCGGACGGUAACGGGAAGAGGUUUGCUUCUUUGCCGACGAGUGGCGGGCGGGUGAGUAAUGUCUGUGAAACUGCCCGAUGGAGGGGGAUAACCACUGGAAACGGUGCCUAUUACCGCAUAUUUUCUUCGGACCAAAGUGGGGGACCUCCGGGCCUCACUCCUUCGGAUUUUCCCAGACGGGAUUAGCUAGUAGGUGAGGUAAAGGCUCACCUAGGCGACGAUCCGUAGCUGAUCUGAGAGGAUGACCAGCCACACUGGAACUGAGACACGGUCCAGACUCCUACGGGAGGCAGCAGUGGGGAAUAUUGCGCAAUGGGCGCAAGCCUGACGCAGCCAUGCCGCGUGUAUGAAGAAGGCCUUCGGGUUGUAAAGUUCUUUUAGCGGGGAAGAAGGGAUGAGGUAUUAUACGCCUCGGCAUUGACGGUACCCGAAGAAGAAGCACCGGCUAACUACGUG
rnacentral:rRNA from 1 species